rnacentral:rRNA from 1 species
AUUGAACGCUGGCGGCAUGCUUUACACAUGCAAGUCGAACGGUAACAGGCCGCAAGGUGCUGACGGGUGGCGAACGGGUGAGUAAUGCAUCGGAACGUGCCCAGUCGUGGGGGAUAACUGCUCGAAAGAGCAGCUAAUACCGCAUACGAUCUAUGGAUGAAAGCGGGGGACCGUAAGGCCUCGCGCGAGUGGAGCGGCCGAUGUCAGAUUAGGUAGUUGGUGGGGUAAAGGCUCACCAAGCCAACGAUCUGUAGCUGGUCUGAGAGGACGACCAGCCACACUGGGACUGAGACACGGCCCAGACUCCCACGGGAGGCAGCAGUGGGGAAUUUUGGACAAUGGGGGCAACCCUGAUCCAGCAAUGCCGCGUGCAGGAAGAAGGCCUUCGGGUUGUAAACUGCUUUUGUACGGAACGAAACGGUCUGGGUUAAUACCCUGGGCUAAUGACGGUACCGUAAAAAUAAGCACCGGCUAACUACGUGCCAGCCGCCGCGGUAAGAC